rnacentral:lncRNA from 1 species
GAUGGAGCUGGAGCACCAAGCGCUGAUCUACAAGUAUAUCGAUGCGAACGUGCCGGUGCCUUCCAGCCUCCUCGUCGCCAUCAGAAAAAGCCUCGGCUCGUCGGUGUUCCCCUCCUACUCACCUGGAUCCUUGCGAGCCACCGAAUGUAAAGUCCUCUACCGAGUCUGCAGAAUGAAGAACGACCGCUUGAAUGACUCUUUUAUCUGCUCUACCGCUGAUGCACUCUCUCGAUCCCUUUUUUUGGGGGGGUUUCGAUCAGUUUCGGUCUUGGAGUAGUUCCAUGAAUCGGUUUCGAUCGGUAUCCACCGUUUUAAAAUCUGGGCUUCUCUCCUAUUUAAUCUUUUUUUUUUUUCCGAAUAUGUCUGAUGUUGUCGAUGCGCAUGAACGAGGGCUUCAAUCCGAGCAUCGGAGACGGUCCUCGCUUCUUGCAUUCCGAUCGCCGCGUCUUAUCUCGGUGGUUUUCUACUGUUUAGGGCUUAUAUUUUUCACUGUAUCCUCCUCUCCAACUCCUUUUACCGUUGCGUCGGAGUCCACAUGCAAGCCGGUGCAUUGUUCCAGAUUCCGAUCUUCACGUCCCUAUUUUGAUCCGCAUCCUCUGAAUGAUCAUGCGGUUUUUCGUCGAUGAAUCGAUUUAUCGUUUAAAAAUGUGUGGCGAACGGUUUGUCCCUUCUCCCAGUGGUUGAGGAGCUUUCUCUCUCUCGCUCGCUCUCGCUCUCGCUCUCGCUUAUCUCUGUUUCGUCGCAGUGGGAUGGAGCCCGUUCCACCUGGGUUUCUCUGGCAACGCGGAUCCGGAGCCGGGGAGGUGCCGUCGGACCGACGGGAAGAAGUGGCGGUGCUCUAGGGAUGCGGUUGCCGACCAGAAGUACUGCGAGCGGCAUAUGAACCGUGGCCGCCACCGUUC